AACAGGAGGGAGUCUGAAAGUUUUUAGAGAUGAGACAUUUGUGUUUCUCAGCUCCCAUGGCCUCUCGCCUGAAACUGUUUCCCUCCAUAGGAGAGUUGAGUAACCGAUCCCUUGACAAACAACUUGGGACAGCUGGAGCUCUAAUCAUCAAGGAUUUUUAUGGUGCUGCUUUUGAAGUAAAAAUAAAGUGAAACCCCUUAUGGCAUUUCAAGUGGAAAAAUAAAUAAGACUGGCCUCCAACCAGGGGUCUUAAGGUGAUGGCUGGAAGUGUGAGAGUGUGGCGGGUCCCUGUCAUUGACGGGCACGUGCUCCUGUGGCUGUGACCUUUGAGACAAAGCAGGUAGCUUGUCAGGGACCUGGGCUGGGUGUCCACCUCUCACUCUCUUUUCCUUCCAGAAAACCUAACUGGAACACUGCUGUCCAAAGCACAGUGCUGUUAUAAGGGUUUCUGGACAUAACAGUUGCAAAAGGGCUUUGGUGAUUUCAUAGAAGGUCACAUGUCUUAUCUAGAUUUUUAACUUACUGCUGUAAAGUUUUGUGUUAUUUUCUCCUGCCCCUUUUAAAUCUCCCCAUUGUCAGUUUGUCCCUUUUCUCAUUCCUAGCAUUGUUGCUUGUCCAUGCUUUCUCUUUCCUUGACCAAAACUUGCCAAAGAGUUAUCCAUUUUAAAGGUAUUUUCAAAGAACUGAACUUGUAUUGAUUAUAUCUGCUGAGUAUUUUCUGCCUGAUCCUUUUGUGCUUUUACCUCUGAAUUCUUCUUUUCUGGGUUUCUAGAUAUAUUUCGUGGUUCAGCAAAGUCUUGACAAGCUGAAAAGUCCUACCCGUGGAAAGGAGCGUUUAUUCAGCAAACAUUGAGCCCCUGUACGAGGCUUGCUGGGGAUUUCAGGGGCAAGACCCAGGCCUGACCCUCCAGGAGCGCAUGAUUCUAGCCUAGUGGGGAAGACUUAAGAAAAUAGACAAUUGCAAAUUCCAAAAACAAGCAAACAAAAAAGGCUUUUGUGGCCCCACUCUCCUGUGGAGGCACCUGGAUGAUAAAUGAAGCCAAGAUUAUUAUUUUGCUCUCCCUCAGAAAGCAGCUUUCUGUCGUAGAUCAAGCCUGCUUAAGUGUUACAAACAGGCCUCCUUCUGAAAGAUGUGUGGCCCUUUCCAGCAGGGAGCCCCCAGCCCACUCCAAGGUGACUGCCAAAUCAGCAUUCUGUCUGCCCCGCAGUGCGGUGCGGCUUUCCACCUUGACCCUGCCUCCUCUUCCUGAAACGCCUUUCAGGAAAAUGAAAAGUAGAUACCUCUUCUGGAAAAGAGCAGGGGCACCGGGCCUUAGAAAAUCACGCUCUGCAAUCCCUCUGGAUCCUGUGGCUCCCAGUAUGAGACGGUUGCUCAUGGGGUACCUGCUAACCCCAAGACCCCAUGAAGCCUUGGGCUGGGCUUCUGUCAGAACUGGUCUGUACCCUGCUCUGGACCUGUUUCCUUAUAGGUAAAAUGUGGUCUUUGGAGCAAACAGUUCCUAGCUCUAAAUACUGGGAGUCCUUCCUGGGAUCUUCAGGUGCUCCUGGAUACACUUGAGGAAGGUGACUGAGCUCUGGGAAGGUGGCAGUGCCCCUGCAGGACAGCCUGCUUUCUGCAGGCUGCUUUCUGCUAAUGCUUUCUGCUUUAGUCAGUGUACCGUGUGAACCCAGAUAUGCCUCUGUCAGGAAGCCUUCCUGAACUUCGUCCCUUCCUCUUCAUAGUGACUGGGUUCCUCCCACCCCUCAAGGGAACCGGCACUGUUAUUCAGUCAGGGGGUACUUACCAGAAUCUGUGUAGGGGCUAGGCCUGGGGGCCACACGAGGUGGAUAUCCCUGCCAUUAGGGAGUCAUCCAGGCUAGUGGGAAAGGGCAUGACCUUGGGCAGACAGUCCCACCGAUAUGUAUGAAACUAUGAAUUGUGGCAGAUGCUAUAAUAGGAGUCUAAAAGGGGAUCUGAUGCAGGCCGGGGGAGGAUUGGUGUUCAGGCUGAGACCUGAGGACAAAUAUAAAUGUUUGAGCAGUGAAAUAAUACAUGAGAUGUUAUUUCUCAGCAUCUCAUCAAGCAUCUCUGUUCUUGAAGAUAAAGAAAUGGGACUGAAAGUAAAAUGAAGGGCCACCAGUAUCUGGCUGUCUUAGAAUCAGCCCAGACGGCUUUUGGCAAUAGAGGUCAGGCUGUUCAAAGCUUUGAGGACUCUGCUGGGAGAUACUGAGGGGCCCAAGGCUGACAUCCUGGUGGUGGGCCCCAAAACAAUCCUGAGAACUCUUCAGUUUCCAGCUGACUGGAACCAUCACAAACGAGGAUCUGGUGGGAAUAGGGGAUAACCCAAUCAGAACAGCAUUUUUAAGGUGGGAUUCUUUCAGCAAGGAAUGGGGCAGCUAGCAUGUGAGCAGUGAAAGCUACAGGGCUGUCAAGAAGGCCAUUGCCCUGUCCAGCUCCCUGGGAACGGGGAGAAGGAGAUCUCAGGCAUACCAGUGGGUGGGGAGGGGAGGGCAGGAGCUGGGGAGGCUGGAGGAUGGAGAAAGGUGAUGGAAGGAAGGCUGCCUCCCAUUGAACCGCUGCAGAAAAGGAGGCCAGAGAAGGGUUGUCACCAGUGUCCAAUCCCAAUCCCCCACAGCCAGUGCAAAACUUGCCCCUCACCCCCCACCCACCCCAUAAUGAGUGAAAGGGUCACCACUCUGAAAAGAGGGAAGAACUAAGAAGUGCUCUCCUCAGCAAGUGGUGGAAGGUGAUCCUAACUCAGAGGGGCUGGUCCAACCUCCGCCCAGCACCUGCCUCCCCAGUGUCUUCCCAAAAGCCAGAAGAGGGGCAGUUUGGUCUGCCAAGCUUCAGAGAGAGAAGUCAGUAGCUUGAGAAAAACUGAUUAUACAGUGGGUUUGGGGAAGGGAGAAACCUGGCCAAGAAACAGCUGAAGGCUUUGUACAGAAGUCCUUGGUCUCCUUUGGGGUACUGGGACUCAAACGGUGGGAGUUGACUUGGGGAACAGUGUAGGACCAACAAACCUUGAGAGGAGAGGCUUCAGGGAGCCCUGGGUCCUAUGCCCCCGCCUUUGUGACCAUACCUCCCAGAGCCUGUUUCCUCACCUAGAAAAUGGAUAUUAUAAUAUCCACCGUAGCCUGGCUCAAGAUAGAGUCUUCACAAAUAUUCCCUCUCUUCUGUGGCCCUCCGCCUCCAGCCCCUGGGCUCAAGCCUCUUAGGGAUGCGAUCUGAUCAUCCAACUCUCCUGCUCAUUCGUUCAUGCCAGGAGCAUUUGCCAGGCCCUGUGCCAAGCUCUGAGAAGCUGAUGCAGAACCAGACCAUGCCAUCCUUGAGCUCAGCUCAGUGAGAGGGCGGCACCCCGGGAGUCCCAUUACAGUGCCAUAUCUGGCCUCUCACCUCUUUUCCUGGGCAGCUGGGAAUCUACACUUGGCCGGCUCACCACUUCUUCCAAAGCUAAACCCUCAGGCAAUUCCCUGCCCCACACUGGUGGUUGCAGCCCUCUAAGGGGGCCUGAUCCCCACCCACCUCAUUUCCCAUAUGACUUUGCUGUCCUCUGCUCACUCUUUUCCAGGCCUCUGUUUCCCCAUGGGGAUGCCCGGGAGGGGACUGGACUGGAAGUCUUUAACAUUUCCAAAGCCAAGGGUUAACUUCACCCUUGUUAUUUCAUUACCCUUGUUACUUCUUAGAGAGUGAAAGAAAGUAUGUUACAAUAAGCAAGUGUUUAAUGAAAGGAUUUUUUGCAUUAAAGAAUAAACUUCAAAUCUAUUGGGUGCAGAAUCUUAGAGUCAGGGCACACUCGGGAAGGUCUUUGAGGGAGGAAGACAGACAAAGCCCGGCAGUGGCUCCCUGUUGCCUGUGCUCCCAACUUCUUAGCUUGGCCAUCAACGCCCUGUGUAACCCUUGAGCGUGGGUGCUCGGUCUUUGUCCCUUGGCCAGGCACAGGCCUAACCAGACCUGGCAGGGAACCUGUGGAUUGGCUGGCCAGGGGGAUGGAUGGAGGGAUGGCCCUACUCAGUCAAUCUCUUGGACUUCCUAAGGACUUAGGUGACCCAGUCCUUCCUACAAGUAAGAAAAUUCAGUUUGCCUCCCAAUCUCUUCUUAGCAACUCUGAAGUGACAAUAUUUUCCAGCCUCCAGACUAAUAUUUCACACACAGAUAUCACAGAGACUACUAUUUCUCAGAUGUGUGAGAAGAACCUUAUAAAAGGUUCCACAGUCUGGCAUCCUCCCUCUGGCAACAGGUGGCUAUGAGUCACCUGUCUUCCCUGAGCCUCAGUUUCCCCAUUUGUAAAAUGAGGCAGUUGGACUAGAUGAUCUCAAGUUCUUUCCAGCUCUAGCAUCGCCCUCAGAUGCCCUGGUGCCUAGGGCAGUCACUGGAGAGGGGGCAUGGUGACUCCAGGAUCCGCUGUCAAGUCCAUAUCUUGGAGCAUGAAAGAAUCGUGGUGAUGGCUGCAGCCCCCAGAAGAUGAGCCUGGCAGAACUGGCUGGGAGAUUUUUCCGCUGCUGGUGACAUGUCCUGGCAGAGUCUGUGCAGAUGGAUAACCAGCUUGCUAAGCACCAUUUAUUGUCCCAACACCAUCUUUUCUCCCAGUUCCCUAUGUCUAGACUCUAUUCAGAUCUGUUGAUCUAUUUGUCUACUUCUGAGCCAAUACCAGACUUUAAUGAGCAGAGCUUUCUCUUAUUGCCUGAUAAGGUAAGUACCCCUCCCUCCCUGGCCUUUUGUUCUUUUUAAAAAUUACUUUGGUCAUAUUGCCCAUUUACUUUUUCAUAUACAUUUUAGAAUCAGCUUAUCAAAGUUCCAUGAAAAAAAUUUUAUUGGAGUUUUGAGUGGGAUUGCAUUGAAGGGAAGAGGAACACCUCUAGGUUACCAGUUCUUCUCAUCUGUGAACAUGGUAUCUGUCUCCAUUUAAUCAGGGCCUUAUCUCUUGGGUUUGAUUUUUAAUGCCUUUUAAUAAAACUCAGCCACUUUUGCCAUAAAGGUUUUUCACAUAUCUUAAUAGGUUUAUUCCUGAGUACCUUAUCAGUUUUGUUGCUUUUGCAAGUGGAAGAAGUUUUCCUUUUCUCUUUUGGCUUUCCAAAUUUUAGUCAAUUUACUAAUCACCAUGCUUCAUUCACAGACACACUCCGAGUAAAUGUGCUUUGUCCCUGGGCACAUAAAUGAGAACACAGCACACAUGUAAAGCAGAGCUAAUUGGCUAGAAACGAAUUAGAAUUUUUGAAUUAAAUUUUAAUUAUACAAGUAAUACAUGAACACAUUUUCCUUUAAAUAAAAUUAGAGUGUUACAGAUAAAGUCUCUGCUGGAUUCCCCCGCCCCGCCCCAUCUCUGCCUCAGGCCCCUCCCCUCCUUUAGAGGUAGGGUAGCUGCUGCUCUUUGGCUUUUUGCUGUUUGUUUAAAAUGUUUUCUUAUGCCCAUUGAAACACAUCUUCUGUUCUCUUUUUGUGUGUGUUUGUCUGCACAGACAUGGUGUGUACACACUGGAGGUGUUGCUCUCAGCUUAGUGUACCCUACAAGACUCCUGGUGUAGCUUGUUGCAGCUCGAGACUGGUGGCCAUAACCCAUUACACCCCGUGUGAUUUCCUUGUUUCCCAUUCACUGACUGCUAGAAUGUUUCCAGUGCCAUUCCAUUGAGACGCACCUCCAACAGCAUCCUUGUACAUUGCCCGUUUUACACAUGUACAAGUGUUUCUCUGGGACAGAUAGUCAAAAAUGGAAUUGAUGGGUCACAGGGUAUAUACAUCUUUAAUUCUAAUAGAAACUGCUAAAAUGUUCUCCAAAGUGCCUUACUAAUGUAAUCUCCUGCCAGCAGCGUAUAAGCAUCCAUUUCCCCAGACCAUUUCCAAGUUUUACAUUUUUAACCAGUCUGAUGAGUGAAAAAUAGUAUUUUGUUUUAGUUUGAAUUUUUCUGAAUUACCUACAAGACUGAAGUCUUCAUGUGUUUACUGUCCAUUUAUAUUUCCUCCUCUGGAUUGCUUGUCCAUAUCCUUUGCCUAUUUUUUAAGGUUGUUUUUUGUUUUGUCUUUUUGCUAUUGAUUUUUAGGAGUUCUUUAUGUAUUUUGAAUACUUAUACUUUGUUAUGUAUAUUGCAAGUGUUUUCUGCAUUGUGAUUCUUGUCAUUUAAUUAUAUGGUAUCUUUUGUCCUAGAGAAAUUUUAAAUUUGAUAUAAUAAUCAAAUUUAUCAAUCUGUUACAUCUUUUUUACAGUCUUAUUUAUGAAAACCUUUGCUAUAUGAAGGUCAUAAGCAUUUCCUUCUCUAAAAUCUAUAGUUUACAUAUACAUAUAUAUUUAAGCCUUUAUACAAGAAAUAAAUUCCAUGUGCAUGAAUCUUAGGAUCUGAUUUUAAAUCACCCAUCCCCAAAUAGACAGGUAAUUGUCCCCAUACCACUUGUAAUAAUAUAUCAUUUCUCCACUGAUUUAAAAUUGGUACCUUACCUGACACUAAAUUCCAAUGUGGGUCUAUGUCAGAGCUCUUUCUGGUCCACUAAUCUAUUUGUCUACUCCCAAGCUUGAUAAUAUGCUUUGCCGACUGGCAGGACAAAUCCCACCCUCUUUGUUGUUUUUGCAAAAUUGCCUUGGUCAUCCUUGCAUAUUGGUCCCACCACAUGAAUUUUAAACCAGCCUGCCAAGUUUCAGGAAAAAUUGAAUUGGGAUUACUUGGAGUUUCUGGAUAAGUUAGAAGAAAACUGGCAUCUCGGGCAUGCUGAGUCUUCCUACCAGUACACGGGGCUACGUGCACCUCUCUCGGCUCUGGUCAUCUCUUAGAUCUUCCGAGGAAGUUUUACAUUUUCCUCUGGUCAAAGUCUCACAUAGUUCUUGAUAAAUUGAUUCUUGGAUUUAGUUUAGGUUUGGCGGUCACCUGAGAAUGGAAUCUCCUCUCCCUUUAUUUGUUUGGCUCCUGUUUCUCCUUAUUCCAUUUCAACCCAUCUACUAAUCACUGUGCUUGGUUUGCAGACACACACACAAAGUAAAUGUUCUUCCUCCCUGGGCACAAAUAUGAACAUAGCCAAACACACAGAGCUGGCAUAAUUGGCUGAAAACAAGUGAGAAUCUUUUCAAAUUAUACUUUAAUUAAACACGCAAAGCAUGAAUACAGUCUCCUUUUUAAAAGUAGAACAAUACGAAUACAGCUAACGUUUCCUUUGGCCACCUGAUAUCCUGGUCCCUCCCCCCUCCAUGGAAGUGACUACUGUUCCCAGUUUUAUAUGUUGCCUUCCAUAGUAAAUAUGUAGUAUUAAUGGAGGCAUUUUGAAUUAAUUAUACCACAUCGUAGGGAUUAUACUGUAUCCUGCAUUUUUCAUUACCUUCAUUUCAUACAUUUCCUUUUUCAUUACAUUCAUUUCGUUACAGUAUUACAUUAUUGAGAUCUACCCAUGUUGUUGACAUACCAGCUCUUGUUCGUCCUUUUCACAGCUACGUGAUACUCCUUCACAUGACUGGACCAUGUUUCCCCUAUUCUAGCGUCCAAGACCCUGACAGGCUUUCCCCCCUAUUAUGAAGAAUACUGAUGGGAGGGGCGCCUGGGCGGCUCAGUUGGUUAACUUCCUUCUGCUCGGAUCAUGAGCCCAGGGUCCUGGGAUUGAGCCCCACGUCGGGCUCCCUGCUCAGCGGGGAGCCUGCUUCUCCCUCGGCCUGCCUCCCCUCCACCCCCGCUUGUGCUCUCUUGAGUGCAGUCUCUCUCUCAAAUAAAUAAAUAAAAUCUUAAAAAAAAAAAAAAAAGAAUGCUGUUGGGAACAUCUUGAUACUUGCUUCAUCCCGAAAUGUUUCUGUAGAGUAGGUACUGAGAGUGGAACUCUGGCCUCUAUGGUGUCCACUGUUAUAGUUUUAAUAGACAUGGCCCAAGUUGGCUUCUGGAGUGGCUAUGACAACUUAAACUCCCUCCACCAGUGAAUGUAAAUCCUUGUUUCUCCAGACCAUUGCCAGCUUGUAAAGUUUCCAGAUCUAAUGGGUGAAAAAAUGGUUUCUUCUUGGUUUAAUUUGUGUUUUCCUGAGUAACUGGUCCUGCUGUAGUCUCCUCAUGGCUCUCCUGGCCGUUUAUGUUGUAUCACGUUGGAGGUAUUGUACGUGCCCCCCCACUUGUCCAUCUUUCUUCUGGGUGUCCUUUUCAUACUGAUUUAUGGGGAUUCUUAUGUACUCUUGAUAGUACUUCCCUGUCUGCCAUAUGCAUUAUGUAGAAUUCUCUACCAUUCUGACCUUUGUCUUUUAACUGCAGUGUAUCUCUUAUUACACAACUUUUUAUUGCUAUGUCAAAUUUAUAAUCUUGCCUUAAGAAGACCCUCUUUACACUAAGAUCACAACCAUUUUUCCUCUUUUUUUCUAAAGCUUUUAUAGUUUUCUCUCUUGCAUGUAUAUUUUACAUUAUUUUGCAAUUUUCACAUUUAAGUCUUUGUUGUAUAUGAAGUUUAUUUUUAGUGUGAUAUUGGUGUUUAACUUUAAUAAAUUUCAAACCUGAUAACCAGUGUUUUUCAGUCCAUUUACUGGAAAAUCUGUCAUUCCUCCACUGAUUUAAAAUUGCUACCUUCAGGGUGCCUGGGUGGCUCAGAUGGUUAAGCGUCUGCCUUCGGCUCAGGUCAUGAUCCCAGGGUCCUGGGAUCGAGUCCCACAUCAGGCUUUCUGCUCAGCGGGGAGCCUGCUUCUCCCUCUGCCUCUCUCUCUCUCUGUCUCUUAUGAAUAAAUAAAAUCUUUAAAAAAAAAAAUGCUACCUUCAUCUGACACUAGAUUCCAGUAUGGGUCUAUGUCGGAGCUCUUUCUGGUCCACUAAUCUAUUUGUCUACUCCCAAGCUUGAUAAUAUGCUUUGCCAACUGGCGGGACAAAUCCCACCCUCUUUGUUGUUUUUGCAAAAUUGCCUUGGUCAUCCUUGCAUAUUGGUCCCACCACAUGAAUGUUAAAACCAAGGUACCACAACAUGAAGGUUAAAACCUGCCAAGCUUCAGGAAAAAUUGAAUUGGGAUUAUGAGUUUCUGGAUAAGUUAGAAGAAAUCUGGCAUCUUGGGCAUGCUGAGUCUUCCUACCAGUGCACGGGGCUACAUGCACCUCUCUCAGCUCUGGUCAUCUCUUAGGUCUUCCGGGGAAGUUUUACAUUUUCCUCUGGUCGAAGUCUCGCAUAGUUCUUGAUAAAUUGAUUCUUGGAUUUAGUUUAGGUUUGGCGGUCACCUGAGAAUGGAAUCUCCUCUCCCUUUAUUUGUUUGGCCCUGUUUCUCCUUAUUCCAUUUCAACCCAUCUACUAAUCACUGUGCUUGGUUUGCAGACACACACACACAGUAAACGUUCUUCCUCCCUGGGCACAAACAUAUGAACAUAGCAAAACACACAGAGCUGGCAUAAUUGGCUAAAAACAAGUGAGAAUCUUUUCAAAUUAUACUUUAAUUAAACAUGCAAAGCAUGAAUACAUUCUUCUUAAAAGUAGAAUAUGAAUACAGCUAAAGUUUCCUUUGGUCACCCUCUGAAAGCCUAGUUUCCUACCCCCUCCACAACUUUAUGGGUCUCCUUUCAUAGAAAUACAUAGUACUGAUGUAGAUAUUUUGAAUGAAUCAUCCCACUUUAUAAGGAUUUUACUGUAAGCUGCAUUUUUUCACUCAAUCAUAUAUUUUUAGGAUAUACUCAAAUUGAUGCAAUGGCUCUUGCCGGUUCCUUUUAAUAGCUGUAUUGUAUUCAUUCCUCUGAUUAUACCACAUUCUCUCUCCUCUAAGAUCUGGGAACAAAUGUGGUUGCUUUCUUUUCUUUCCUCCAUCAUAAGCAGCGCUGCAGAAAACAGCCUUGCACAUGCUAGCUCUGUAAUUUUUCUCUAGGAUUGAGAAUGGAAUUUGGGGUCUCAAGGUGUCCACAUUUUUAGUUUUAACUGAUACUACCAAAGUGUCCUCCAUAAUUUCUGUACCAUUUAAACUUGCAGUAAGAGGAUAGGAGAGGACUCAAAUCCCAUACCAUAAGCAGCUGUUUUAAAUAUUUGCCAAUCUAAUGGGCAAAAAAUGGAAGCAUUUUUUAUAUUUCUGUAUACCUGUUUGCAAGUGAGAUUUUCCUGGGCACUGCUGUUUAUAUUUUCCCUUUUCUGAAUUAUCUGUUUAUUUUUGCUCAUUAAAAAAAUUAGAUGGUUUCUCUUUAUCAUAUUGAUUUGUGGAAUUUCCUAAUAUAAUCCAGAUAUUAAUCUCUUGUAUAUACAUGGCGAAUAUUUUCUUCCAGCUCGUCUGUUGCCUUUAACUCUUUGCAGGCUCUUUUAGACAGAAGUUAUCAAUUUUGACCUAAUCAAAUGUAUCAGUCUUUUCCUUUAUUCCUUUUUUUUAAGAUUUUUUUAAAAUUUAUUUAUUGAGAGAGAGAGAGAGAGAGCAUGAGAGGGAGGAGGGUCAGAGAGAGAAGCAGACACCCUGCUGAGCAGGGAGCCCGAUGCGGGACUCGAUCCUGGGACUCCAGGAUCAUGACCUGAGCCGAAGGCAGUUGCUUAACCAACUGAGCCCCCCAGGCGCCCUCCUUUAUUCCUUUUAUGUAUACAUCACAUUUAUGCCUUUCUCACUCCUACAUUUAAAUAUAUUGUGUACUCUUUUCUAAUAAAUUUGCCUUUAUUUGGGUCUUUCAUACAUCUGCAAUACAUUUUUAUGGUUGAAAUGAGGUACGAUCUAACCUCUCCCUGAACGUACCACUGACUAUUGCCAUGCAGGAGACGGACGAGCUCAUCCUUUCUCCGCUGAUCCGAAGUAAAGCUCCCUCACACCCUGAGUUAUGGUGUCUAGGCUGGUGUGAGGCCCCUGUUCUGUUCCACUGGUCUGUAUAUUCCUGUCUGUACCAGACUAUUUUAUCUGCUAGAGCUUUAUGCUACCUUUUGAUAUCUCUUAAGUAAAAUGCUCCAUUGCAUUGUGCUUCCUUUUCAAUUAUCUAAGCGAACUAUUACUGCACAUUAACUCCCCCACACGAAUUUUUAAAACUGCUUGUCAAGUUCUGUGAAUUUCAAGAUUAA